rnacentral:rRNA from 1 species
AUGGCGGAGGAACCGUCCGCCAAGCGUCAUCAUGCUGAGACGUCGGACAAGAGGAGCAACCUCAUCGACAUUAACGUCCCCGGCGAGAAGCGUGACUACACCAGAACGCUCAAAGGGGUUGAGCUCCAUGGCAAGGAGACGCUGGAGAUCGUCUGCACCAGCGAACCAGACAAGGCCGACGAGGUGAUCUCCAGGCUCUGGAGGAAGCUUGGCGGCAGGAUUCGUAGGAUCAUCGGCGUUGGUGUGCACUACACCAACGAAGAUGAACCUCCCCAGAUGGCGGUAGUCCUGCAGUUGUGCGUCGACGAACUCUGCUUGGUGUACCACAUCGCAGCGACCACAAAAUGGUGA